CAGACUUCUUCCUCUGCAGGAGACCCAGCUAGAGGGCAUGGGAACGAGAGGGAGCACCAGGCUUGGAGGGGCAGGAGGAAGGUCUAGGGACUGCUCACCACAGACACCAAGAGGGUGACAUCUGGGGCUGAAAGUCAGAAGGAAGCAAUUGCCCUAGAGGUUCCAAGAACAUGUUCCCUGUGGGAAAAGGCCAAGGAAGCUCCGGCUGCACAUCCAGGCUCUUUCUGCUGAACCCACCAGGUUUCUUGGAAGAGCUAGGCCUUAAGCAAGACUGGGAAAUAUAUGUGGCAAACAAGGAAGAGGAGGAAUCCACUUCAGACAAAAAUGGGGCUGAUGAGAUGGCUCAUCAGAUAAAGGAACCUGCCGCCAAGACUGAAGACCUGAGUUCUAUGCCCAGGACUGAUGGAAAGAAGAAGCCCUUAAGUUGUCCUUUGACCUCUACAUGUGUACCAUGGUGCAUAUACCCCCCCGCCACAAACACCCACACCCAUACCCCAAACAAAUACAAAUGUAAUUUUAAAAAUUUAAAGAUCUCUUCUAGUACUAGGUAGGGUUAGGGGCUGAAUCCCACAUUCCAUCUGGAGUUUUUUGGUUUUUGUUGUUGUUGUUGUUGUUGUUGUUGUUGUUGUUGUUUUCAAGGCAGUGUUUCUCUGUGGCUUUGGAGGCUAUCCAGGAACUAGCUCUUGUAGACCAGGCUGGUCUCGAACUCACAGAGAUCCACCUGCCUCUGCCUCCCAAGUACUGGGAUUAAAGGCGUGUGCCACCACCACCCAGUUUCAUCUGGAGCUCUUGUGACUCCAAAUUCUCAAUUCACACUUGACCUUCAGGAAGUCAUGAAGAUGUCUGUCAAGUCAGGAGAAGAGAUUGAAGACUUUGCUUGUUUGAUGACUUAACUUUUAAACACUUGGAUAUAUGGAAGCUGGCCUUGACUGGACUCUUCUCUGUGCUUCAAAAUGUCCCUGGGUGAGUUUAUGGUCCCUAGUCCAUUGAUGCCUUGUUCUCACUUAUAUCACGAUUAAGCCGAGCCUUGUCUCUGAAGAGCUCCACUCUUUCCCAGCAGGCCUGCAGGUGCAAUAGACAGACUUAAUGGGUGGCAAAGCCAAUGGACUCAAGGCCUUGGUGAAUUCCAAGAUCAUGAGGGAGCAGAAAGGUUGAAUCAUGGGAAGACUAGAAGAAAGGAUGUGUGAUAGGUAGGGUUUUAGUUGAGGGGGGGUGGUAGGGGAGGACAGGAGGGAGAAGGGAACUGGG
rnacentral:lncRNA from 1 species